CUGGACAUUAUCAAGGGGUUUUCAAACUGUAAGGAGAGUUUGUCAUUUGGAUUGACAAAUAAUUUUAAGCUGCCUCUCAACUCCUCAGACACCAACCCCCUAUUUUGCAGGGUCGAGGAAGUACGCAGAAAAAGCACUCGUCUUCAUUAUGUGUUGCUUUUUUCCACGUCGUGCCUGAGCUGCUGGUAAUAACACCACUAAGCCUGCAGCCUUCUCUUGUGCUGCAAGGUGAGGACAAGGCGACUGAGUGUCUGAGUGCCUUCAGAAGACGAGACGUGCUCUCCCCCGCAGCCUGACGUUUUCCACUAGAGUCCCGAAGAACAACCAUAAAUGGGAUUUUUUUUUUUAUAAUCUUAAAAUUGUAAUAAUGGUCUCAGCGAAGAGGUGUUCCUUUAGUCUAUUCAAAAGAUGAUAUUAUUGCCACACAAAACUUGUUGUAUUUGCCUCAGAGCACAGCUCCAACAGUACCUGCAGGCCUAACCUUAUAAGGAAAACAAAGUAACAAACACAAACUAAUAGACACGGCUUUAAAUCUGUUUAUUUUUAAUCUCCUGUUUUCAAUGUUUGGAACAAAGUCGGGUUUCUACGUACAUAAGAAGUGGUAAUUAUGCAUGACAUUUGUGAGAGUUUGUUUUGUGUCGCAAAGGCAGAAAGAAAUGUUUUCUGUUAAUCUCGCUCUCAGCAGGGCAGCAUUAACAAAUAUUUUAAUAACUGGAAGCCUUGUAGCUCGGUGAUUUGCAAUAUGUUUUUAGAGGAGUCUCACAAACAAAUUAAACAGACUUAGUUCAUAUACAAAAACUUGUUUAUGCACUUGUUUAUUUGUCUGUUCAUGCGUUAAAAUGAGAAAUACUGUCAGACUUGCAAAUUAUAGGUUAAUUCUUUAAUCUAAUUUCAAAAACGUGUUAACUUGGGAUGUUUCUUUGUCAUUUGGCGCUGAACUGAUGACAUCCAACUCACUCAUUUUUAUUAGUUCCACCUUUAAGAAGAGCACACGUGACAACAAUGCAGUGUUUCCAGUGUUUCCCUCCUCUGCUCCAGACAAUCACAAGAUGAAUCUGAGGGAUUGUGGGACGAUUGAUGCCAGAGGGACAAACCAAAAACAGACCUUUACUUGCUAUGCUUAUCUGUUUUCACCUUCAUAAACUUUUAUCUGAUCUUUCCUCUGGUGAAUCAUUGGACAGGGGCAGGUCUAGAUAAAUGUUCAUAGGGUGGCGAAAGUAUUCAUACGCUGACUUAAUGGCAAAUAACCACAAAUAUCAACAUUAGCACAGAAAAAAACCCAGAAUGAUGUGAUUUUAAGUCAAGGUAUCGUCACAAAUGAAGCACACCUUGUGACUAAAAGGUUUGCCUUCAUGUCCUGGAGCAUUACGAUUAUUUGGGGGAGGUCUUUGUUUCUGUUCAUGCGGUGCUGAUGUAUUGUGCUGCUGCAUGAUGGUCAGUUAACAUUCAGGGUCUGACUGAAAAUGAAAAUGUUUUUCAUUUGCAAAAAAAAGAGAAACUCUUUGUGUCACAAUUUAGAAGAAGGAGUGAUGGAAUAAACCUGACUUUUGAAGUACUUUACUUGAAUACUUCGACUUUCUGCUAAUUUAUACUUCUUCUUCAAUAGAAAAGACUCGAUCGCUCUAGUUGCUAGUUACUUUGAAGAAUCAGUUUGUCCUUGUGUGAGACAUUUUAUCGGCAUUUCCGAUACCAGUCAUGUGAAAAAUGCUGAAUAUCUACUGAAUGCAUGCUGGAAUGUUUAGGUUGUGGUACAUUUGAGGGGGUCUGUGGGGCAAUCUCUACCCACCGAGCUGCCGGGGCACCUCUGAUAUUUUGUUUGUUAAUGUGUCUGAAUGAUGCCAUGAGGGACAGGUCAUAUUCGGUCAAGCAUUCAUUCACGUCACAACCUCACAGCCUUUUGUUCAGCACAUCACACAGUCAAGUGGUGU